ACCUGUUAAAGCUUCAAUCUUCAAUUUAAAAAAAAAACCCAGAAUUGUUUGCUUGUUUCUAUCCUCCAAUAACACACUUUCCCUUUGGUGUAUAGGCUGUAUUCAAAGCAAUAUGCACGCACACACACACACGGACUGAGCAAUCUCCCCUAUAGCUGAUAGAUUAGACAUUAACUAAAUGAGUUGAAUGCAGAAAACCCCCAUCCAUCUGCCACUGACUUAGGCAAGGACCCAUUCGCAAGGCUCAGCUGCUCGCCUGGAUCUGCCCAGAUGCACUCCACGAAGAGGCUGCUGCUAUGCUACGGGGGAAAAAAAUGAAAUCAGGAAGCAGCCCUUAAUAGAUGUUGAAAAGAACCUGUUAACCCAUUCUCUGGGCAGCUUGAUAACACAUGUGCAUGGAACACAGAGCCCGGCAGAGUUCAACAUGCAGAAAUAUUAUAUUGACUAAAUAAUCUCUGGUUUGGGCAAAGUUGGUAGUGGUAUAAAUAUUGGGUAAUGCACCAAGGCUGCGUGCGCUGCUCUUCUUAGAAAUAAUAAAAUCCACGAGGUGAGACAUCUCUCUGAGAGACUGAUUUUAAAUCUGGACUGGGGCUUAAUCCCAUAAACCCUGGGCUCAGAGGUAAGAGCACUACUCUAUUCCCCCUUAGCCACAGUUGACAUCUGAUGCAGUGCUUCACAAACAUUUUUUUUAAAUGCGUGUGUGUAUGUGCAUGUGUGUUAUGCUUUGUUAAACAAUACUUUCAAUUGUGACCUUUCUGAGACAUAAUUGUGGUGCCAGUGUUACCUCAGCUGGGGCUGUGGAAGAGUCAUUAAAUCUGGCCUCGGGGCACCUGGAUUAGGAAUGAGGUAUUCAUGUGGUCACUCUGUGAGACGUAGGGUUGGGCUUUGACAACAGUUCAUCGAGACUCAGUUGUGAGCAAAUGGGAGUCACGAGAAACUGCAGAUGCUGCAGCCUUGUGUAAAACACAAAAUGCUGGAGGAUCUCAGCGGGUCAAGCAACAUCUGUGGAGGGAAGGGAUAGGCGACGUUUAGUUUAGUUUAAUGUAGAGAUACGGCGUGGAAACAAGCCCUUCGGCCCACGGAGUCCACGCCGACCAGCGAUCCCCGUACACUAACACUAUCCCACACACACUAGGGACAAUUAAAUACCAAGUAUACAAAUCAAGUAAGCCGAUCAAUCUACGUCUUUGGAGUGUAGGAGGAAACUGGAGCACCCGGAGAAAACCCACACGAUCAAGGUUUCAAGGGAUCCCUGCCGGAUGUGGCUGCAAGAUUCCGGGUCAGGAUCAUCGGCCUGUCUGAAAUCAACGCUCACUGGCUGAUGAGACAUUUGGAAACUGUGCAAUCACACACCAGCGUUUGAGAGAAUUGAGGGCAAGCACGCUGUGAAGGACCUCCGCUUGAAAUUGGAUGAAAAAUCUUGGGGGUGGGGGGUGUAAAUCAGAUCACCGACAUCAAUCUGAAAUUUCUGCAAGGAGCUUUUUUAUAUGAAAAAUUAUAAAAUAGAACUGCACCAUCAGAGAAAAAAAGUUGCUUAUAUUGCAGUUGCAGGUAUAAAAUAUGUAAAAUUAUCCCUGGUACAUAUCUUAGGAUGAAGAUUGCUCAACAAUUCCAGUAUUUUGACAUUUGCAAUGCACAUUUUCUCCAAAUUUGCAUAACACUGAGUGCUCCGCAUGAGCUUUGAAACGUUCUCUAAAACAAUAAAACAACGAUUUAAAUUUCUCAAAUCAUUCCUGACACAUGGACUUCACCGGUGAGAAACAAGCCUCACUCUGUAUUUUGGAAAGAAAAAGUAUGCGCUAAUAAAAUUCGAAAGUAAUUUACAUCAUGAACGGAGACUGACUGACAGCAAGUUGCCAUGGAGAUAUUCCCAUGGGUUCUGACUCUGAGCUACUGACGGCAGCUGCGAGAAGCGCAGAACUAAUCAUCCUCCCACUCACGUGAGCUGGAUUCUGACUCAACCUGCCCUCUCUCUCAAAUCAGCUUUCAUUACACUGUGUUGGGGGAAAAAGAAUAACAUUGCCACUCAGCUGACUAUCAACACCGGAUGACUCUGGGCUGCGUGCUUUGUAGCACAGCUAUAGUCUCAGUGGGCUCGACAAUGGAGGCAGUAAUAAAUAGGUGGUUAUCAGCUACGUACACAGAGGGAUCAUGAUGGAUACAAUAGCCAGUGAUGGAGUUGAGGGAUUCUGAAUUAUGCCUUGCCGUUCCUACAUUUACUCCUAAGUUGCAAUGGCACAGUUGGCAAACACACUGCCAAACUUACAGGGAUGGAAAUGAAACAGUGAUGUUAGGGCAUUGAUUCCCACCUUAUCCCACCUUAGGACUCCACCUGUCAGAUGACCUGAUGUCCACAACCAACACCACAGCACUGGUCAAGAGAGCCCAGCAGCGACUACACCCUCUCCGAAGACUACGUAAAGCAGGUCU